CCUACGGGGUGCAGCAGUGAGGAAUAUUGCACAAUGGACGAAACUCUGAUGCAGCCAUGCCGCGUGAGUGAAGAAGUCUCUCGGUAUGUAAAGCUCUUUUUGCACGGAAGUAAAUGCCGGUACCUGACUCUGACUCCCCGUCUAACUACGUGCCAGCUGCCUCGGUAAUACGUCGGGGGCCAGCGUUAUCCGGAUUUACUGGGUGUAAAGGGGGCGUAGGCGGCAAGGUAAGCCAGAAGUGAAAGCCCGCGGCUCAACUGCGGGACUGCGUUUGGAACUAUCUAGCUAGAUUGCAGGAGCGGUAAGUGGAAUGCCUAGUGUAGCGGUGAAAUGCGUAGAUAUUA
rnacentral:rRNA from 1 species